UACGAGGGGGGCAAGCGUUGUUCGGAAUUAUUGGGCGUAAAGGGCGCGUAGGCGGUGCGGUAAGUCACCUGUGAAAACUCUGGGCUCAACUCAGAGCCUGCAGGCGAAACUGCCGUGCUUGAGUGUGGGAGAGGUGCGUGGAAUUCCCGGUGUAGCGGUGAAAUGCGUAGAUAUCGGAAGGAACGCCGGUGGCGAAAGCGGCGUGCUGGACCUCUUCUGACGCUGAGGCGCGAAAGCCAGGGGAGCGAACGGG
rnacentral:rRNA from 1 species